UGGCCGACAUUGUACCUGACGGAUUGGGUCGUUUAAAGAAAAAGCAAUUUGCUAUCUUGAAAGAGAAAGAUUCAUAAACGUGCUAUUGUUGUUCAUAUUAAUGUGACUGGAGUUAAUGAUAAACGCCAACUAAUGCAUGGAAGUGUUGAUAUUUAUGAAGAAAACGAUUCCUGGAAAUAUGAAUGUCAAAUCUUGAAAAUUUUCACCACUGUCAAGAAUAACGUUUAGAACCCGUGUCACUAACAAAAUGUAAUAUUGUUGGUGAGCAGUAAAAGCAAUGAUCAACAACAUUGCCCCAUGAUUGGUGGUCCAGGAAGGGUUAAUUACUUUUUGUCAACACUGAAUGUUCCAACGAUCAAUUGAACUUAAAGAAAAUAUAAAUACAUGCGGGUAGGACCAUUCAUCAAGUGUCAACUAUCUCCUUUACAGCAGACAGGCUUAUAAGAUGGAAAUGAAGCAGUGAUAUGCUGAUUACCUGUACAGGAGGAAAAUGAAACCAGACAGAUUAUGGACUCAAAUGCAACCCAGAAACAAGCUAGGAACUUGCAGUCACUGAGUGUUCUUGUUAACAGUCAUGUGUUCAAUGGUGCAACAACAUAAAUAUUAUAGCUGGCUCUGGACUAAGCCUUAUGCAUCUUAAAAUGAUCUUCUACGCCAUGGUCUCAAGAACAUUGUCAUAAUGAAUAACUCUGACGGUCAGCCCAGGGUCACCAAUGCCAAGCGUCUUUUGGAGACACUUAUUCCAACCUGUCGAAGUUCUUCAAAAAACUUCCAUGACAAUCAUGUAUUUGUUUUGUUUGUCAUAGUAAGUUAAUGUUAUCACUAGUAUCAAUACUUUUUGAUAAAUUGAUAAAUCUAUUUUCCUUUAAACGUGUAUGAUUGAAUGAUUAAAUGUGUCUUGUUACUUAAUUAUUAAUGUUCUUAUUUCCCUGUAACAUUUUCAAGUCUUAUUUAUAGAAGAACGCAUUUCACAUGCAAUUUCAAACUAGGUUAGCAAAUCUUACUGCACUGAGUAGUUUCCAUGUCUGACACAUGAUAUAAGAGAUGUUAAUAUGUUUAUGAGUUUAUUAUAGGCUUUUCCUAUUUUUUAUCUAUUUAUAAUAAUUUUUGAACAUUUAGCUCAUCUUUAUGCUCACAUAUAAAAAUCUGAAAUUCAGUAUGGCGUUUCUGGAAAAGGGGGGUACCCUUAAUUGUAAAGCAGGAAGUUUUCGUUUUCACUGGUGACCCCCAUUUUUUUUUUUUUAUUCAAACAUACAUUAUAGAUGAUUUGUAUGUUCGAAGAUUGUAAUUUCCUUUUGCCAUUUUUUUUACAAUUUAUUUAAAAAAGACUCGUGACUUAAGAUUGCAUUUUUUCUCGUUUUCCGAAGGAUGAUGACAUCACUUGUUAGUUUAUAUUUUCUUUAUUCCUUUUCUCACAUGUUAUAA